rnacentral:rRNA from 1 species
UACGUAGGGGGCAAGCGUUGUCCGGAUUUAUUGGGCGUAAAGAGCGUGUAGGCGGCCAUGUAGGUCCGUUGUGAAAACUCGAGGCUCAACCUCGAGACGCCGAUGGAAACCAUGUGGCUAGAGUCCGGAAGAGGAGAGUGGAAUUCCUGGUGUAGCGGUGAAAUGCGCAGAUAUCAGGAGGAACACCGGUGGCGAAGGCGGUUCUCUGGGCCUUACCUGACACUGAGGAGCGAAAGCGUGGGGAGCGAACAGG